rnacentral:rRNA from 1 species
GAUGAACGCUAGCGGCAGGCUUAACACAUGCAAGUCGAGGGGUAUAGGUUUUCGGACCUAGAGACCGGCGCACGGGUGCGUAACGCGUAUGCAAUCUACCUUUCACAGAGGGAUAGCCCAGAGAAAUUUGGAUUAACACCUCAUAGUAUAGCAGUUUCGCAUGAAACCACUAUUAAAGUUCCAACGGUGAAAGAUGAGCAUGCGUCCCAUUAGCUGGAUGGUAAGGUAACGGCUUACCAUGGCUACGAUGGGUAGGGGUCCUGAGAGGGAGAUCCCCCACACUGGUACUGAGACACGGACCAGACUCCUACGGGAGGCAGCAGUGAGGAAUAUUGGUCAAUGGACGCAAGUCUGAACCAGCCAUGCCGCGUGCAGGAUGACGGUCCUAUGGAUUGUAAACUGCUUUUGUACGAGAAGAAACAACAUUACGUGUAAUGUCUUGACGGUAUCGUAAGAGUAAGGAUCGGCUAACUCCGUGCCAGCAGCCGCCGUAAAAC